AACGAACGCUGGCGGCAGGCCUAACACAUGCAAGUCGAACGGGAUCUUCGGAUCUAGUGGCGGACGGGUGAGUAACGCGUGGGAACGUGCCCUUUGGUUCGGAAUAGCCCUGGGAAACUGGGAGUAAUACCGGAUACGGUCGAGAGACGAAAGAUUUAUCGCCGAAGGAUCGGCCCGCGUUGGAUUAGGUAGUUGGUGGGGUAAUGGCCUACCAAGCCGACGAUCCAUAGCUGGUUUGAGAGGAUGAUCAGCCACACUGGGACUGAGACACGGCCCAGACUCCUACGGGAGGCAGCAGUGGGGAAUCUUAGACAAUGGGGGAAACCCUGAUCUAGCCAUGCCGCGUGAGCGAUGAAGGCCUUAGGGUUGUAAAGCUCUUUCAGUGGGGAAGAUAAUGACGGUACCCACAGAAGAAGCCCCGGCUAACUCCGUG
rnacentral:rRNA from 1 species